CGUGAGGUCACGGGCCGAAAUAAGGAGAGGUCUCCCCCAAAGUCUUCCUCUUUCUCCAAUCCCUCUGAGGGCAGAAGGUUGCUCCAGCUCUUUUCCACAACUCUUCAAGGAGUGAGGCUGCCGGCCUUUCUCCUCCUGCAUCGGUGAGAGGGAGAAACCUGAUUUCUCCAGCUCAACCCUUCUCUUCGCUCCAAAGAGAGGAACACAAAGGUCGAGCUUCCAGCUCACCUUCUCAAGGAAACCUCCUCGACCUUCAGGCUCUACAACUCCUGGCAGCGACUCAAUGUCCUGCAGGUAAGGAUUUCGAACAAGCAACGGAGCUUCACAGCUCAACAGAACCGCUAAGAGAGGAACCUUUAAACCAACCAGAGACUUCACCGAAUUGCAAACGGGACAUCAACCUCUUUCCUUGUCCCUCGGACUGGUAACACAAUCUGGGCUUAAUAAUUAUAAAUGCUAAGGAAGACUGUUUAUUUGAUUCUGUGUGUGUUUAUAAGUUCGAUAUGUGGUGUGAUGUUGUGGCUACAAGUUAAAUGAAAGCUAAUGUUAGAUAGGCCCUUCACAGGUUUCCUUUGUAGGUCUCUGAUUCUUGCACUCUCUGAUUUAACAUCCACACAGACACACAUACCUCUACACCUACUUAUCUACUUCCCAUCUCCAGAAGAAAGGGGGGGGGGGGGGGGGGGCUAUCUUAUAGCCCACAGGAAGGCAUUACCCUUUUGGUCAACCACCAUUUUGAGAGCCCCUAAUUUACAUUUCACACACACACACUCACUCACAUACACAUCCUUGUUAGUUAGUACGUUUUUUUAGUAAUUUGUGUUUUUAUACUUUUAUUUUCAUAAAAACAUGUUCUCUUUCACAAAUGUUCUGUCAUUAAUGUUGCAUAAGUGAAUUUUGCCAACCGUUACACUGUCAUGAACUCCAUAACCUUCACUGUUCAUUAUAUAAUCUUUAAUAGUAAAUAUUGAGAUUUCUAAACGAACUAGAUCUGAAUGAGACUUAAUCAAUAAAUUGUCUAUCUUUUCCCUUCUUUGAAGGGUGGUGCCCCGUGAGAACUUUAUUCAACUAAAUUUAUGAUCUAAUAUUAAUAUUUUAAAUAUUAAUGUUUAUAUAUUUUUUUGAUAACCAAAUUUAUUGAAUGCCUAAAGGCACAACAUUCUAUGGUAACACUUUUUAAGCACUAUUGCACAACAUGUGUUUGAGCUGAAAGCUGCAGAAUAAAGCGACGUGUGGUUUAGGUGUUGGUAACAAGCAGUGAUAUGAGAGGACGCACAGAGAGGGAGGAGCAACACUGACAAAGAGCAGAGCAGAAAAGACCUCCUGCUGUGCUGCAUUCAAUAUCUACAGCAGACCUCAGAUAGUGUCUGUAAGAUGUUCCCUCUGCGUCACGCUGGAGUCUGGCCUUUGUUUCUCUUCAUCCUGAAAGGUGUCAGCUGUGAUGAACUGACUCCAGACCAGACUGCAGAGUUCAGUGUAGAAGGCAGCUCUGUUACUCUGUCCUACAAGUUCUCCAGGACAAUAACUGGUAAUGAUUAUUUCUACUGGUAUCGACAGAAUCCAGGACAAGCUCCAGAGUUCCUCCUCUCACACUCUGCUUCAGGACAAAUACUAGCUGCUCCAACCUCUGGACUGAAGAUCCAAGUGGAGCAGAACCAAAUCCACAUGAUCAUCUCCUCUGCUGCAGUGACAGACUCUGCUGUGUACUACUGUGCUGUGAAGCCCACAGUGACAGGAAACUACACAACUCUGUACAAAAACCUGUGGAGCAAACACACAACUCCUCAUCCUCCACUAGAGGGAGGCACUCACCGUUAA